UACGUAGGGUGUAAGCGUUGUCCGGAAUUAUUGGGCGUAAAGAGCUCGUAGGCGGUUCGUCGCGUCGGCUGUGAAAUCCCGAGGCUCAACCUCGGGUCUGCAGUCGAUACGGGCGGACUGGAGUACUGCAGGGGAGACUGGAAUUCCUGGUGUAGCGGUGAAAUGCGCAGAUAUCUGGAAGAACACCGGUGGCGCAAGCGGAUUGCUGGGCCAUAACUGACACUGAGGAACGAAAGCUAGGGGAGCGAAUGGG
rnacentral:rRNA from 1 species